GUGCUCGCUUCAGCAGCACAUAUGCUAAAAUUGGAACAAUUACAGGGAAGAUUAGCAUGGCACCUGUGCAAGGAAGACGUGCAAAUUCGCGAAGUGUUCCAUAUUUUU